rnacentral:rRNA from 1 species
CAGUCGCCACGGUAAAACGGAGGGGGCUAGCGUUGUUCGGAAUUACUGGGCGUAAAGCGUAGGUGGUGGUUUAAGUCCGUUGUGAAAGCCCUGGGCUCAACCUGGGAAUUGCAGUGGAUACUGGAUCACUAGAGUGUGGUAGAGGAUAGUGGAAUUUCCGGUGUAGCAGUGAAAUGCGUAGAGAUCGGAAGGAACAUCUGUGGCGAAGGCGACUAUCUGGGCCAACACUGACACUGAGGCACGAAAGCGUGGGGAGCAAACAGGAUUAGAUACCCCAGUAGUCCCUGUCUCUUAUACACAU